AAUUACUUGCAUAUUAAAAUAUUGUAUAUUUAUUUAAAAAUAUAGCAUUGAAUUCAAUAAGAUUAACUUCAGAUUAUUAAGAUCAUUAAUGGUACAGUUAUUUGUGCUACAUUUGUGUAGCAUGCUAACAUGUCAUUUUGAAUUCAACCAGUGAGUACAAAAAUGGUACAUGCCCUGAUCUGCCCUAUGACACAGUGCACACAGCUAUAAGUGUGGUCUAUAAGUACACUUUCAUCUACAUAAACGAAACUGCACAAUAUAUUAAAACAUUUCCUGUGGUCUAAUGUACUAAUCCUCUCAUUGUGUGAGUCUUGUUUUGUCUCUUUUCUCACGCUCGAUGUAAUGGAGUUUUUCAUCUUCAUAGUUUUUCAGCUCCUGAUGGAGUUUCAGUCCUACAGUUCAACAUCAAAUACCACUGAACAAACUAUUACAACAGCCAUGAAAACAUUGCUGGUUUCCACCGGUAUUACUGUAAUUUUGUCUGGACUCAUGGGACUCAUCUGUCUGUACCGGUUUGCAUGUAAGUAUUUUAAUGACAAUUUUUAUUUAUUCAUAUGCACAGGAAUAAAAACUGAAAAUAUAAUACAUUAUCUCAUUGUUUUUUUAGGUAAAAAAGAAGAAAACUGUAAGUAA
ensembl:lncRNA